rnacentral:rRNA from 1 species
AUUGAACGCUGGCGGCAGGCCUAACACAUGCAAGUCGGACGGUAGCACAGAGAGCUUGCUCUUGGGUGACGAGUGGCGGACGGGUGAGUAAUGUCUGGGGAUCUGCCCGAUAGAGGGGGAUAACCACUGGAAACGGUGGCUAAUACCGCAUAACGUCGCGAGACCAAAGAGGGGGACCUUCGGGCCUCUCACUAUCGGACGAACACAGAUGGGAUUAGCUAGUAGGCGGGGUAAUGGCCCACCUAGGCGACGAUCCCUAGCUGGUCUGAGAGGAUGACCAGCCACACUGGAACUGAGACACGGUCCAGACUCCUACGGGAGGCAGCAGUGGGGAAUAUUGCACAAUGGGCGCAAGCCUGAUGCAGCCAUGCCGCGUGUAUGAAGAAGGCCUUCGGGUUGUAAAGUACUUUCAGCGGGGAGGAGGGCGACGCGGUUAAUAACCGCGUCGAUUGACGUUACCCGCAGAAGAAGCACCGGCUAACUCCGUGCCAGCCGCCGCAGUAA